rnacentral:rRNA from 1 species
UACGUAGGGUGCAAGCGUUGUCCGGAAUUAUUGGGCGUAAAGAGCUCGUAGGCGGUCUGUCGCGUCGGCUGUGAAAACCCGGGGCUCAACCCCGGGCCUGCAGUCGAUACGGGCAGACUAGAGUGCGGUAGGGGAGACUGGAAUUCCUGGUGUAGCGGUGAAAUGCGCAGAUAUCAGGAGGAACACCGGUGGCGAAGGCGGGUCUCUGGGCCGCAACUGACGCUGAGGAGCGAAAGCAUGGGGAGCGAACAGG